rnacentral:rRNA from 1 species
UCCGUAGGUGAACCUGCGGAAGGAUCAUUAAUGAAUGCAGAUUCCUGUCGAGCUUGCUCACGGGAUUUCAUCAUAUCCAUAACACCUGUGCACUUGUUGGAUGGUAUAACAGAGCCCUAGAGGCGAAGUUGUCCAUCUAAUUUACACUAAACAAUUUUGUAACAAAUGUAGUCUUAUUAUAACAUAAUAAAACUUUCAACAACGGAUCUCUUGGCUCUCGCAUCGAUGAAGAACGCAGCGAAAUGCGAUAAGUAAUGUGAAUUGCAGAAUUCAGUGAAUCAUCGAAUCUUUGAACGCACCUUGCGCUCCUUGGUAUUCCGAGGAGCAUGCCUGUUUGAGUGUCAUGAAAACCCUCAACCUUAGAUUGGUUAUUUGACCUUUCUUUGGCUUGGAUUUGGACGUUUGCCGAUGAUAAGUCGGCUCGUCUUAAAAGUAAUAGCUGGAUCUGUCUCGCGACAUGGUUUGACUUGGCGUAAUAAGUAUUUCGCUAAGGACAUCUUCGGAUGGCCCUGUUGCAGACUAAAGACCGCUUUCUAAUCCAUUGAUCUUCGGAUUAAUAUUUCAUAACAUCUGGCCUCAAAUCAGGUAGGACUACCCGCUGAACUUAAGCAUAUCAAUAAGCGGAGGA